UUGACCUCGGAUCAGGUAGGAGUACCCGCUGAACUUAAGCAUA
rnacentral:rRNA from 1 species